UACGUAGGGUGCAAGCGUUGUCCGGAAUUAUUGGGCGUAAAGAGCUCGUAGGCGGUCUGUCACGUCGGCUGUGAAAACCCGAGGCUCAACCUCGGGCCUGCAGUCGAUACGGGCAGACUAGAGUUCGGUAGGGGAGACUGGAAUUCCUGGUGGUAGCGGUGAAAUGCGCAGAUAUCAGGAGGAACACCGGUGGCGAAGGCGGGUCUCUGGGCCGAAACUGACGCUGAGGAGCGAAAGCGUGGGGAGCGAACAGG
rnacentral:rRNA from 1 species